AUGGCUCAGGAUGAACGCUAGCGACAGGCUUAACACAUGCAAGUCGAGGGGCAGCAUAGAAGUAGCAAUACUUGGUGGCGACCGGCGCACGGGUGAGUAACGCGUAUGCAACCUACCUAUCAGAGGGGAAUAACCCGGCGAAAGUCGGACUAAUACCGCAUAAAACAGGGGCACCGCAUGGUGAUAUUUGUUAAAGAAAUUCGCUGAUAGAUGGGCAUGCGUUCCAUUAGGUAGUUGGUGAGGUAACGGCUCACCAAGCCGACGAUGGAUAGGGGAACUGAGAGGUUGGUCCCCCACACUGGUACUGAGACACGGACCAGACUCCUACGGGAGGCAGCAGUGAGGAAUAUUGGUCAAUGGGCGGGAGCCUGAACCAGCCAAGUCGCGUGAAAGGAAGAAGGAUCUAUGGUUCGUAAACUUCUUUUGCAGGGGAAUAAAGUGCAGGACGUGUCCUGUUUUGUAUGUACCCUGAGAAUAAGGAUCGACUAACUCCGUGCCAGCCGCAGC
rnacentral:rRNA from 1 species